rnacentral:rRNA from 1 species
CCUACGGGUGGCUGCAGUGGGGAAUAUUGGGCAAUGGGCGCAAGCCUGACCCAGCAACGCCGCGUGAAGGAAGAAGGCUUUCGGGUUGUAAACUUCUGUUCUGAGGGACGAAGAAAGUGACGGUACCUCAGGAAUAAGCCACGGCUAACUACGUGCCAGCAGCCGCGGUAAUACGUAGGUGGCAAGCGUUAUCCGGAUUUAGUGGGUGUAAAGGGCGUGCAGGCGGGAAAGCAAGUCAGAUGUGAAAACUCAGGGCUCAACCCUGGGCCUGCAUUUGACACUGCUUGUCUAGAGUGCUGGAGAGGCAAUCGGAAUUCCGUGUGUAGCGGUGAAAUGCGUAGAUAUACGGAGGAACACCAGUGGCGAAGGCGGAUUGCUGGACAGUAACUGACGCUGAGGCGCGAAAGCGUGGGGAGCAAACAGGAUUAGAUACCCCUGUAGUC